UACAGAGGUCUCAACCGUUGUUCGGAUUCAUUGGGCGUAAAGGGUGCGUAGGCGGUCGCGCAAGUCGGAUGUGAAUCUCAGGCUCAACCCUGAACUGCAUUCGAUACUGCGUGGCUAGAGUGCUGGAGAGGAGACUGGAAUUUACGGUGUAGCAGUGAAAUGCGCAGAUAUCGGGAGGAACACCGGUGGCGAAGGCGGUUCUCUGGGCCGUGUACUGACGCUGAGGAGCGAAAGCGUGGGGAGCGAACAGG
rnacentral:rRNA from 1 species